rnacentral:rRNA from 1 species
CCUACGGGAGGCUGCAGUGAGGAAUAUUGGUCAAUGGACGAGAGUCUGAACCAGCCAAGUAGCGUGAAGGAUGACUGCCCUAUGGGUUGUAAACUUCUUUUAUAAAGGAAUAAAACGAGGCACGUGUGCCUUUUUGCAUGUACUUUAUGAAUAAGGAUCGGCUAACUCCGUGCCAGCAGCCGCGGUAAUACGGAGGAUCCGAGCGUUAUCCGGAUUUAUUGGGUUUAAAGGGUGCGUAGACGGGUUGUUAAGUUAGUUGUGAAAGUUUGGGGCUCAACCGUAAAAUUGCAAUUGAUACUGGCAGUCUAGAGAGCAGUUGCGGUAGGCGGAAUUCGUGGUGUAGCGGUGAAAUGCUUAGAUAUCACGCAGAACCCCGAUUGCGAAGGCAGCUUACUAAGCUAUGACUGACAUUGAUGCACGAAAGCGUGGGUAGCAAACAGGAUUAGAUACCCCAGUAGUC